AAGGGCGCGUAGGCGGAUUAUCAAGUCUCUUGUGAAAUCUAAUGGCUUAACCAUUAAACUGCUUGGGAAACUGAUAGUCUAGAGUGAGGGAGAGGCAGAUGGAAUUGGUGGUGUAGGGGUAAAAUCCGUAGAUAUCACCAAGAAUACCCAUUGCGAAGGCGAUCUGCUGGAACUCAACUGACGCUAAGGCGCGAAAGCGUGGGGAGCAAACAGGAUUAGAUACCCUGGUAGUCCACGCCCUAAACGAUGUACACUAGUUGUUGGGAUGCUAGUCAUCUCAGUAAUGCAGCUAACGCAUUAAGUGUACCGCCUGGGGAGUACGGUCGCAAGAUUAAAACUCAAAGGAAUAGACGGGGACCCGCACAAGCGGUGGAGCAUGUGGUUUAAUUCGAAGAUACGCGAAGAACCUUACCUGGGCUUGAUAUCCUAAGAACCUUUUAGAGAUAAGAGGGUGCUAGCUUGCUAGAACUUAGAGACAGGUGCUGCACGGCUGUCGUCAGCUCGUGUCGUGAGAUGUUGGGUUAAGUCCCGCAACGAGCGCAACCCACGUAUUUAGUUGCUAACGGUUCGGCCGAGCACUCUAAAUAGACUGCCUUCGUAAGGAGGAGGAAGGUGUGGACGACGUCAAGUCAUCAUGGCCCUUAUGCCCAGGGCGACACACGUGCUACAAUGGCAUAUACAAUGAGACGCAAUACCGCGAGGUGGAGCAAAUCUAUAAAAUAUGUCCCAGUUCGGAUUGUUCUCUGCAACUCGAGAGCAUGAAGCCGGAAUCGCUAGUAAUCGUAGAUCAGCCAUGCUACGGUGAAUACGUUCCCGGGUCU
rnacentral:rRNA from 1 species